rfam:Pan troglodytes isolate Yerkes chimp pedigree #C0471 (Clint) chromosome 12, whole genome shotgun sequence.
CCUGGGCAUGGUGGCACAUGCCUGUAUUCCUGGCUGCUCGGGAGGCUGAGGCAGGCAGGAGGAUCACUUGAGGCCAGAAGUUCUGGGCUGUAGGGCGCUAUGCUGAUCAGGUGUCUGUACUAAGUUGGGCAUCAGUGUGGUGACCUUCCAGAGCAGAGGAUGACCAGGUUGCCUAAGGAGGGGUGAACUGGCCCAGGUCGGAAAAGGAGCAGGUCAAAACUCCUGUGCUGAUCAGUAGUGGAAUCACGCCUGUGAAUAGCCACUGUACUCCAGCCUGGGCAACAUAGCGAGACCCUCUCUCUU